rnacentral:rRNA from 1 species
UACGGAGGGGGCUAGCGUUGUUCGGAAUUACUGGGCGUAAAGCGCACGUAGGCGGCUUCGCAAGUCAGAGGUGAAAGCCCGGGGCUCAACCCCGGAAUUGCCUUUGAGACUGCAUCGCUAGAAUUGUGGAGAGGUAAGUGGAAUUCCGAGUGUAGAGGUGAAAUUCGUAGAUAUUCGGAAGAACACCAGUGGCGAAGGCGACUUACUGGACACAUAUUGACGCUGAGGUGCGAAAGCGUGGGGAGCAAACAGG